UCCGCCCGCCGCUGCGUCCCGGAGUGCAAGUGAGCUUCUCGGCUGCCCCGUGGGCCGGGGUGCGGAGCCGACAUGCGCCCGCUGCUCGGCCUCCUUCUGGUCUUCGCCGGCUGCACCUUCGCCUUGUACUUGCUGUCGACGCGACUGCCCCGCGGGCGGAGACUGGGCUCCACCGAGGAGGCUGGAGGCAGGUCGCUGUGGUUCCCCUCCGACCUGGCAGAGCUGCGGGAGCUCUCUGAGGUCCUUCGAGAGUACCGGAAGGAGCACCAGGCCUACGUGUUCCUGCUCUUCUGCGGCGCCUACCUCUACAAACAGGGCUUUGCCAUCCCCGGCUCCAGCUUCCUGAAUGUUUUAGCUGGUGCCUUGUUUGGGCCAUGGCUGGGGCUUCUGCUGUGCUGUGUGUUGACCUCGGUGGGUGCCACAUGCUGCUACCUGCUCUCCAGUAUUUUUGGCAAACAGUUGGUGGUGUCCUACUUUCCUGAUAAAGUGGCCCUGCUGCAGAGAAAGGUGGAGGAGAACAGAAACAGCUUGUUUUUUUUCUUAUUGUUUUUGAGACUUUUCCCCAUGACACCAAACUGGUUCUUGAACCUCUCGGCCCCAAUUCUGAACAUUCCCAUCGUGCAGUUCUUCUUCUCAGUUCUUAUCGGUUUGAUCCCAUAUAAUUUCAUCUGUGUGCAGACAGGCUCCAUCCUGUCAACCCUAACUUCUCUGGAUGCUCUUUUCUCCUGGGACACUGUCUUUAAGCUGUUGGCCAUUGCCAUGGUGGCAUUAAUUCCUGGAACCCUCAUUAAAAAAUUUAGUCAGAAACAUCUGCAAUUGAAUGAAACAAGCACUGCUAAUCAUAUACACAGUAGAAAAGACACAUGAUCUGGACUUUCUGUUUGCCACGUCCCUGGACUCAGUUGCUUAUCUGUGUAAUGGAUGUGGCCCUCUAAAGCCCCUCACUGUUUUUGAUUGCCUUCUAUAGGUGAUGUGGACACUGUGCAUCAAUGUGCAGUGUCUUGUCAGAAAGGACACUCUGCUCUUGAAGGUGUAUUACAUCAGGUUUUCAAACCAGCCCUGGUGUAGCAGACACUGCAACGGAUGCCUCCUAGAAAAUGCUGUUUGUGGCCGGGUGCGGUGGCUCACGCCUGUAAUCCCAGCACUUUGGGAGGCCGAGGCGGGUGGUUCACGAGGUCAGGAGUUCAAGACCAGCCUGGCCAAGAUGGUGAAAUCCUGUCUCUAAUAAAAAUACAAAAAUUAGCCAGGCGUGGUGGCAGGCACCUGUAAUCCCAGCUACUCGGGAGGCUGAGGCAGGAGAAUUGCUUGAACCAAGGUGGCAGAGGUUGCAGUAAGCCAAGAUCACACCACUGCACUCCAGCCUGGGUGAUAGAGUGAGACACUGUCUCGACAAAAAAAAAAAGAAAGAAAAAAAGAAAAUGCUGUUUGUAUUUUGUGGUCUAAUAAGGAGCUCGGGAUAGCCUGUUGUAUUUGCCUCAUGCCAGCCCCUGAGCUGCCUUGGGAGAAGAUGCUGAUUGUCCUUGUCCAGAGUACUGCUUUUGCAGAGUGACAGGCUGCUGGGACAGACGUCCUCCUGUUGCAUCUUUGUGGAUGUUUAGUACCGAUGAUGACACGGGAACCCACAUCACUGACACUGCUCUUCAUCUUCUGUUAGUCUCUUGAAGAGCAUUUCUUUUGUACUUCUUUGCUGAUGACCUACCUCUUCAUAAGCCAAGUGAAACAAGUUGACGAACUGCCUAGGACUUCCACGUGUUGCUCACAUACAUGAUGAUUUCUGUCACGCUCUUGUGUUCAGACACGCUGACGUUACCAUGUAUGUCAAACCUCCUUAUGAUCGCAUGUCCUGGCAGUUAAGCUGAUUGCAAACAGACUAUUAAAUAUGAAUGGAGCAAACGCUGUAUGUCAUGGAUAUGUUCUGGAGAAAUUCUUACCCAGCUGGAUGGGGCAGGGCCCUUGACUCACCUGAAUCAUGACCAGCUGCAGUACAGAAUUGUUACAGACCUGGAUUAAUGCUUCCAAAGACAGAAGGACCUUGGCACCUAAACUGACCAGCCCUGUGAUCCUGCACCCCACAGGAGUAACUCAUCAGGACUUACCAGACUGCUGCUUUUGGGCAUCAUCUGCUGGGUUGAUGAUUUGGUUUGGCCAAGAGUCUUGCCAAGACUUUAAUCUAUGCCUCUUGUUCUACAUGAAUUCUUGGGAAUUACUCACGUUCCAUAGGAAGAGUGCAUCCCCAGAGAGGGAGCCGGCAUCAGAAAACAACACUGGGAGCUGGGGACUGACAGUACAGGAGACCAGAGGGGAGCCAGGAAGUGGUCAGCAGGCAGAAAGGAAAUGAGCUACAAGGAAAUGGCACUUGAGUAUGAAAGAUCAACACGUUGGGUCAAGGUAGCACAUUUGCCAAGAGGAAGCACACGCCCUUGAAGACGUUGGGUGCAAGUAUCUGGUCACCAGACUUUUCUAGGUCAUUUCCGUAAGCCACCGGGACAAGCUGGUUGAAGUGAAUAUGGUCUGUUCACAAGUCGCCUGGAAUUGCUUUUCUUUUGCUGUUCUUUGUGUUCUAAAAUGUUCAAUGUCUUGCUCUGGCUCUUCUUUAGUCACUUAUGGCCAAAAGACCUGGUCCCCUGUUCAAGCAGCAAUAAUACCUCCCGGCCCCACAAAUUCCCAAGGAUGUUGCUCUUAAAUUCCACUUAUUUCUUUUUUUCUGUUCUUUCAUCUCUUUUUUUUUUUUUUUGCAAGAAGUUAUUGUCUCUAUCUCAUAUAUAGUUCACUCUUUGCAGUACAAAGUGUUAAAAUGUCAAACAAAAAUAAAUAUCGAUGUUACAGUAGCUAGAAUAUUCAAUAAAAUAGAUCCCUGCCAUUCUUGAUUGAAAUGUUCA